CAACUGAACGGAAAUAACGUCUUCAUUCGGGAUAUUGCGUCAGAUCUGAGCUUAGUCGAGAGAGGUUAGCAUAAUAGUUGCACGUACAAAGUCUCCAUUUGUAAAUUACGGGUGUUUAAGUAAAAAUAAGCACAAAAUCUGACCCGGUGUUAAAGCUGCAGUGCUAUGGCAAACCGCAGCCUGAAAGAGAUAACGAUUGAAAAUGCCGCAUCACCGAAACCUCAGGACGAGUCUCCAUCAUCACCUUCAUCUCCUUCAUCACCAUCAUCACCUUCAUCAUCACCAGCGGCGCAAGAGAUGACUCUAGACCUCAAGAACUUCAGGAGACCCGGGGAGAAAACAUUCACUCAACGGUGCAGACUGUUUGUCGGUAAUCUCCCGACGGAUUUAACGGAGGAAGAUUUCAAGAAGCUGUUUUCCAAGUAUGGCGAAUCCAACGAGGUGUUCAUCAACCGAGACCGAGGAUUCGGCUUUAUCCGCCUGGAGACAAGGACUCUUGCAGAGAUUGCUAAGGCUGAGUUGGAUGGUGUGGUGCUAAAGAACAGGCCCAUCCGUAUCCGAUUUGCCACACAUGGGGCUGCACUCACAGUACGAAACCUUGCUCCAGUGGUAUCCAAUGAGCUACUGGAACAGGCUUUCUCACAGUUUGGCCCAGUUGAGCGGGCAAUUGUGGUGGUUGAUGACCGUGGCCGACCGACAGGCAAGGGGAUUGUGGAGUUUGCCAAUAAGCCAGCUGCCCGGAAAGCUUUGGAUGGCUGUACAGAUGGAGCCCUUCUGCUUACAACGUCCCCUCGUCCAGUCAUUCUUGAGCCAACAGAACAGUUUGAUGAUGAAGAUGGGCUCGCAGAAAAGCUGUUGCAAAAAUCAGCACAAUAUCACAAGGAAAGGGAGCACCCACCACACUUUGCACAGCCAGGCACCAUUGAGUUUGAGUUCUCCUCUCGCUGGAAAGCUCUGGAUGAGAUGGAGAAACAGCAGAGGGAACAGGUUGACCGAAACAUACAAGAGGCCAAGGAGAAAUUGGAAGCUGAAAUGGAGGCCGCCAAACAUGAGCAUCAGCUCAUGAUGAUGAGACAAGAUCUCAUGAGACGGCAAGAGGAGCUGCGGCGCUUGGAGGAGCUCAGGAAUCAGGAGCUGCAGAAACGCAAGCAGAUUGAGAUGAGACAUGAAGAAGAGAGACGCAGACGUGAGGAAGAGAUGAUACGGCAUAGAGAGCAGGAUGAAAUGAGACGGCAACCAGAUGGAUUCAAGUCCAGUUUCUUGGACAGUGUAAGUACAAGAGAAAUACUUCAUUUUCAUUCUGAUCUUUACAGAAUUCUAUUAGGUUUUGAUUUCAUCAGACAGACGACAGUAGGUACCAGACCAAAAUUACCCUUACCGCCACAGUAAAACUGUAAAUUCCAGUCUCACGUGAGACUCAUUCACAAAAUCACUAAGUGGCACAAAGGGACAUUUUUAUUUGUAUUUAUUUUUUGCACCUUUGUUAUGGGUGAAGAAAGUGAGAGUUGUUACAAUUAUUAACAUUUUGAAUAUUUAUAUUUUAUUUUUUUAAUUUUCAUUUUUAAAUAGAGAUCAAACAAUGCAAGGAAUGAAUUGUAUCAUGAAAGUAAUUUCUCAUUAAUUAAAAAAAUGCUAAAAUGUCAAGCCUUUCAUCCAAUACAUGGAAACUAUUGAUUCAUAGGCAUUAGUUAAUUGAAAUUAAAAUACCUGAACAAUCAUAAGAUUUUUUUAGCCCCUCUAAAAAAAAAAAAGAAAUCUCAUCGGAUACUCACCCUAAAGCUGUCUCAAACUUGUAGGACUGACUUGUGAAACACAAAGAUAUUUUCAAGAAACAUUGUGUUUAUAUCCAUAAAACGUAUGUCAAUGGGGUCCAAAACUUGGGGUCCAACAAACACACAACGGCAGCAGGUUUGUCAAAAGUACCGGUACUUCGCUACCAAGUCAGUACUAAAAUAAAAAAGAUGUAAUGAUACCAGUGUUUCUGCAGUACCGAAUACCGACUCAAUUUGGUACCCGCACGCUGUCUGACUGACACACGACUGUUACUUGUUUUACACAGCGAAAGGCUGCAAUCUUAGUUUGUAUUUGAGCUGUAUGCUUUAAAUGAAAGUGUGAAUCCGUUCGCUCAUACACUGGAAACUCCACAGACAUUAAGAAUCAAUCGCGUUGUAUGAGAUGACAAAGCAGAGCACUAAACCACUGUAAAGCACGUACUACAUGUAGACAAUAUAUUUAUAUAAUGAAAUCACAGCAUUUGCACUUUAACUAUCACACUGCCAUGUAGCAAACUGUUUAUCCAUCAGAAGUGAAGCUUCCAUCAAAAGCUCACGUCAAAAUAAAAGCAUGAUUCAAAAUAAGCUAAGUGCCAGAAAUUGCAACAGAAAUAUAUUACAACUGUAUAGUAAAAUGUAAUAUUACUUGUAGUAAUAUAAUACUUAAGCAAUGCAUACUUAAUUGAGAAACACUGAAGGAAACGUGCAUAUCAUUGAAUUUUUUAUUUACAUUUAACUUUAAAUAGGCUAAAGAUGUGUGUUCAAUAGCACUUUACCAUAUUAGCACAUUUUUGCUGUGGUAUCGAAAUUGGUAUUGAGAACUGUGAAAUUUCCCUGGCAUCGGUACCAACUACUGAAAUUUUGGUAUCGUGACAACAGUAAUGACAGCAUAAAGGUAAUCUACGACAUAAGCAGUUUAAUCCAUGUCUUCUGAAGAGAUAUGAUCGCUCUUCUGCGCGUGUCAGGCGCAAGGAAGUGUAAUCACACAAGAUUUAUAGUUAUGUUAAUUUGCAUUCAGGGUUGGGCGGAUUACAUUAAGAAAGUAUUCUGGGCUGAAUACUGAAUACUCUCUCUUAAAUGUAUUCAGUUAAGUAUUCCGAAUACAUCAAAUAAAAAGUAACAUAAUACAAUAAUACUUUUAGAAUAUAUAUUUAUAAAGGCAAGGUACAGUUGGAGGAAUGAAGUGUGAUGAUAUUUUAUCUGAAGUGCUACACCUCUCAGUGAAUCUUAAUAGCGAGUUUCUUUAAAUGAAAUAUGGAGUUGGACACUAAUGUUUUUCUUUAUGAAAAGAAGAAUAACAGAAGACAGUUUGUAGUCAACUGUAAUAUUUUAAUAUUUUAACAUUUUAAUAGUUUUCUUAAUCUGUUAUUUGAUUGACACAAAUUGACACAAAAUUAGAUAAGAAAUGUAAAUAAACUGUAUUUAUUUUCAAGAUGAUAACUGGAUGCUUGCAUAUUUCCAUAUUUAGGCUGAUUUAUUAAUUUUCUAUCUCUUUUAUUACCAACACUUUUAUUUUGGGUGCUUUUGAUUCUUUUACUCAUCCUGUUUUUUAUUUUAUUUGAUUUUUAUUUAUUUUUUAUUGUUAACAAUUGUUUUAUAUUUUUUGUGAAUCACUUCAUAUGAGAUGUUUCUUAAGUGAGAAAUAAUAUUAAUAUGCUUGUAUGUUACAAUGUGUCACACUGAAGUAGCCCCACACGUCUGUAAGACACAAAUGUUACAGUAGAUAUUUACAUGUUUUUCUGUCAUUGUUUGAACUCUUCAGGUCUGUUUCCCUCUUUCAGUGUUUGCAGUAGGACUACUUUCUGUAUAUUUAUUUUUUACCUAUUUAUAGUAGUCUAUUAUUGUUGUUAAUAACUGCUGUUUCUCAACAGUUCUGCAAGUUUCUGAUGUGGAUGUGACUCACCAAAUGCUAUUUGAGAGCCAUCCGUCUUUACUCCGUCUUUACACAGAAGCCGCAGCUGCAUAAAUGUAUUUACAGCACAACAAUCAUAGGAAACAAUCCGCGUGAAUAGUAUAUUUGUGGAAAUAAUGUUACGACUGUAUUGAUACUGCUGCACAGCUGACAGCGUGCUGAUUGUUAAAAUGUGCUGGUGCGGUUGCCAGAUAUCCAAUCUAGGAAUCAUUAUACAUGAAUAAGACAUUUCCAUUCUUUAGUGCUUACCAUCAGACCUUUUGUUGACUGCGGUCCAUUUUUAAAGUAUCCCAAAAACACAACCCACGAUUCUUUGAUUUUAAACCGCGAUUGUGUUUUCAAAUUAGCCCAAUUUGGCAUGAAACCCUGCCAACACUGCGGUCUCGCGCUGCUGCUGAUCUGGGCAAGAGAGAGCGAGAAGAUGCGUUCGCAGCUCACAUCAGCGCUGUUUCUCACUUGAUUGACAAGAUGACUUAUUUUGAGGUCAUUAUGAGAGAAGUAUUCUAAAAGUAUUCUACCAAAAUUGUAUAAAGUAACUUCUGAAUACAAGUGCUUGAAAAUGUAUCGGUGGCUGAAUACAGUUACUUCAUUUUUGUAUUCUGAAGACGUAAUGCCGUUUCAUAUAUUCCUUUACAGCACAACCCUGUUUGCAUUGUUACAGAUUAAUGAGCGGUUUUCUCAAGGAGGAUCUCCUCUGAUGGGCUCUUCUGUGGGUGGGCGGUCUGGUGUUGACUCUCCUCAGCAACAGCAGCAAACAGCGGUCCCUGGUGUGGUUGUCCCAGGUG